CUUAAAUCAUUUAAGGUCUGUGCAUUUACUUUGUGGUCCAUCUAAGUGGAUUUUGAUAAAUAAUACAAGAUUAAAGAUCAUGCAAAGAGCAAUUUGGAUCAUGAUAAAAAGAGAUGCAUCACAAAAACGUCUUCUAGUAAUUACACAUACCUUUUUGAACUCAACAUUCUACACCCUAUUUACAUUUUGUAGUGCACAUUGGUCUUGCUUUAAGCAGUUUUAUAAAAAAAAUUGCAGUUGGAAAAUCGCUAAAGAUGUUUGACAUGAUAUUUUCCCUACUGCCAUUUUUUUCCCCACCGCUUCUAAGCUUUUCCUUGCCAAUUAUUAUUCUGAAACAAAUCCAGCAGUCCGUCAGGUGCCAAAUGACCGAAAUGUGAACCCGAUUCAUUACUGAUACUGCAUCUAAAAUUAAGCAAAUGCUUAUAGGCUUUAUAAUAAGAGGGCAACAGUGAACGCUUUGCUUUGUGCACGCUGGCUCCCGAGAGUACUGCAGUAUCAAUGCUGUACAAACCAAUUAAUUCAUACGGAAUCUCUCUGAGAAUUUAUGGACUAGGAUGACUUCAUCAUUGCUUAUAAUUACUUUCAUAGCCCUUGGGUUACUUCUAAAUUAGCUAAAACCAGAGAAAAUAAAGUACUGUGUGUCAACCCGGGACAGGAAAGAUGUACUGUCUUAAGCUGAACAGGUCCGUAUAGCGAGGUAGCAUUAAAACGCUAAUGCAUGGAUUUGGAAACUUUACGCUGCCCCUGUCAAAACGGAACCGGAGGUAAUCAGUCAUUCCGGUGCCCAAUCUUGUGCAAAACACUUCAUUGAGGUGUUUAACGUAUGCUGCCGAGUCUAUUUCGCGUGUUGGAUCUUGUCAAUUGUGUGUAAGCUGAACGUUGCAUAUGUUAGCAGGCAUGCUAUACCCAGACUUAUUUCCCCCCCUGAGGGUCGAUUCUUGAGAUUCUCAAUAUGCUGUGGAAGAACAGAUUUGAUUUAAAGACUUGCCUUUUAAUUCAUGAAGUGGAAAAAACAUUGCCCCCGAGAUAACAAAGGACAUAGACCAAGGAACACCGUUUCCCUGCAAAUUGAAUGUCGUCUGCUAUAACACAUCGCCUCAGUUGUCCUCUUCGACAAACUUUUGGCUUCUGGCUACGAAAAGACAAUACAAACAAGAUUACAAAAAGGAGCCAGCAUUACAAAAUCCCGCUUUGAAUCCUCUGAGUUUGACACAGAACCUUUCCCAACUUCCCCCAAGGUUCAGACGACACAUCGACAGUGAAACAGAGCUUGUGGGUUAAUUAUUUCAUCGAGCAGAUGUUAAACUUUCGUGCUCUGGGUUUUAUAUAAUUCUUUUUUAUCUCUCAAAUCCCUGUAGUGUAAUUACAGCGGUAAAACCAUUUACUCAUUAGCAUAGUUAUGCAAUCUGAACUAAUGAACUGUGCUGGAAUCACAUUGAAAGUGAGAGUGUAUGCACUUCAGAUGACUGCUGCGUGCUUCUGGUUUUGUAAGACAUCAUAGACGCUCACGUAUUCAUGCAGAAACAGCCUGAAUCAUUAGCAGAGACCUCCUGUGCUCAUUUACUGCAAUCCAUCUCCAAUCUCAACUCCACGGGAAUCGUUAAACACGACUCCAAAGGAUUCCACGCUGUGAAUAUCCCCUGUCAUUUCAUUGUACGUCCUGCAGCAGAACUCCAUUUCCAUCAUUGCAAGCCUCUCUCUGGGCACGUCAGAGUCCAGUCGAUACAGGCGUAGAGAAAAGCAGUGGCCUGUAAUUGUCGUGCUGUGCUUUUGACAGUCCUUAACACUCAAAUGGACAACCCCCGUCUAGAAUAAAGACCCGUGGCUCUCACAGCAUUGGGUGUCACUGUCUGGCACCGUGAUCAGCUGGGUGUCAGGUCUUGUCAGUGAUCUGACACUGGGGAUAAGAAUGCAUGGGCAGAGAAACCAACACUACCCGUGAGAUGUGCCUGCUGCCUGUACCCCAGACACUAUCAUGUAGUCGAAGCUGGCGGACUCCUAUCUUCUGCAUUAGUGCUGGGAACAGAGAUAAGCUGCUCUAAAAUGGAGAGAGAGAUCGUCAGAGCUGGUCGUUGUUGUGAAAGAUUAGGAACACCCAUCCUCAGAGCUGGGCAAAGCUUUCAUUUGUCCACUGUGCUCGACUAGGCCCCUUUCUCCCACUUGCAAUUUCAACAUUUGAGAAAAGUUCUGAUUAUAGCUGCCCGGGGUUUUUCUUUAUCUUUUUGUUUUUGCAGCGUGGGAAGGGUGGGAAGAAAGGUCCUAAUAAUUGCAGCUCGACAGCUUUAAUUAUGGCAGAACGUUUGGCAGAGAAUUCAUAACAUGCAUUGGUCUUUUCCUUUUCAGGGUUUUGGUGCUAACCGCUCUGCGAACAAUGAAAACAACGAUUCCGGUUUAAUUGUUUUCCUGCGUGACCCGAGUGGGGAAGCAUAUUCAUCAGUGAUCUACAUUCAUUAUAUCCACACAUGCAGCACAAAAUGCAAUUUUAACUUGAAGAUACAAAACAGAUAUUCAGAAAUGGUCUUUUAUGCUUUUUAAACUCUAAUAAUACGACCUACAUAAUCAUCUCACACUGCAUUAGAAAUCAUAAGAUGAUGAUAUUGAAGCUUUCUUAACUUUCACACCUGGUUCUUCACAGUUACUCAACAUGAGUGCUGCAUCUAAGCUUUAUUCUCCCCAACAGACCAUAAUCUAAUGUUUCGUCUCCACACCAGCUUAUGGGCCAGCAACAGCUGGUGAUAUCACCUUGCCCCAUCUGCCAAAUGAUAUUGGCUAUCACCAUACCUGCCCACAAGACCUUGGGCAUUAUUCUGUCUUCCUCUCUUUACGUAUAUAGCGGUAUUUAUGAGUACUUGGCGCCGUAUCAGAUCAACAGUUUUGUGGCUGCCUCCCCACCAAAAUACAUUUAAAAAAGUUGUUUGUCAGCCACCAUCCUGAAUGUUACAGGUGAUCUUUCUGGAAACAAUUAAAGGUGCCCUAGAAUCAAAAAUUUAAUUUACCUUGGCAUAGUUGAAUAACAAGAGUUCAGUACAUGGAAAUGACAUACAGUGAGUCUCAAACACCAUUGUUUCCUCCUUC